rnacentral:snRNA from 1 species
GGUCAUGGUGUGGAUUUGGCUGCCACAUCUAUCACCCAUUGCUCUCCAGAGUUCAUUCUGCUCAUCUGACUUGCUAGGUGAGAUCCUUUUUACUGCUCAGGUCUCCAUUAGCAUCUCCUCCAAAGCUCAAUCAAAAAGGAUGACUUUCCCUUAUGGAGAAGAAGUCAUCUGCAAUCAAGGGAACUGAAGCUGCUAAUUUCCCUGGUUAUAAAUACAAAACUAGUUCUGCUUGGUGGGGGGGUGGAAGGGUAAAUAAUUUUCUUUAAUUUGCUAUAUCCAUCCUUCUACUUCUCUCUUAAUAAAAUGAA